AUGACCUUACUCGAACAGGAUCUGUUCUAUAGGCUCGUACUAUUGUGUCCUUGAUUUCAAAGGAGACAGGAACAUAAAUCUGGCGGAUGAACUGUUACCGUGCGAUCAGAGCGUGAUUAACGGCUUUGAUGAUACUCAGUUUGAGCUAUCAUCCUGAGGCAUUAGAUGAUCAUUCUCGGAACAGAACAUGGUACGAAGUGCCUUUAGUGUAUAUUCAACUGAGA